rnacentral:rRNA from 1 species
AUUGAACGCUGGCGGCAUGCCUUACACAUGCAAGUCGAACGGUAACAGGUCUUCGGAUGCUGACGAGUGGCGAACGGGUGAGUAAUACAUCGGAACGUGCCCGAGAGUGGGGGAUAACGAGGCGAAAGCUUUGCUAAUACCGCAUACGAUCUCAGGAUGAAAGCAGGGGACCGCAAGGCCUUGCGCUCACGGAGCGGCCGAUGGCAGAUUAGGUAGUUGGUGGGAUAAAAGCUUACCAAGCCGACGAUCUGUAGCUGGUCUGAGAGGACGACCAGCCAGACUGGGACUGAGACACGGCCCAGAAUCCUACGGGAGGCAGCAGUGGGGAAUUUUGGACAAGGGGCGCAAGCCUGAUCCAGCCACGCCGCGUGCAGGAUGAAGGCCUUCGGGUUGUGAACUGCUUUUGUACGGAACGAAAAGACUCUGGUUAAUACCUGCGGUCCAUGACGGUACCGUAAGAAUAAGCACCGGCUAACUACGUGCCAGCCGCCGCCGUAAUAC